rnacentral:other from 1 species
ACUCCUCUGUUCCGCUCGUGAGGUCACGCAAGCGAAUCCCUUACUAGCUCGAAUCGGGGGCGAACACGUCCGCGGUGUGCCGGCCCGGCAAGUCUCUCCGGGAAGCCUUAAGCGGACGCAGAAGCUCCCACCUACUGGAAAGUAGGGAUUCGACUGCAAACUCUGCCCACGACGGUUACGGUAAGAGUC